GGACUGCUAAUACCCGAUAGUUCUAUAUGCUUUCGGGCAUAUGGAUAAAUGGUGAUUCCGCUCGAGGAGGGGUCCAUGUCCUAUCAGCUUGUUGGUGAGGUAACGGCUCACCAAGGCGAUGACGGGUAGCCGGACUGAGAGGUUGGCCGGUCACACUGGGACUGAGACACUGCCCAG
rnacentral:rRNA from 1 species